GCGGAUGUAAUCAAGUGGAUUAAGGCAGUGUGAAUUGUGAAUUCACCAUGCGCGGGUUCAAUCCCCGUCGUUCGCC
rnacentral:tRNA from 1 species